AUUGAACGCUGGCGGCAUGCUUUACACAUGCAAGUCGAACGGUAACAGCACUUCGGUGGCUGAUGAGUGGCGGACGGGUGAGUAAUACAUCGGAACGUGCCCAGUAGUGGGGGAUAACUAAUCGACAGAGUAGCUAAUAUCGCAUGAGAUCUAAGGAUGAAAGCAGGGGACCUUCGGGACUUGCGCUACUAGAGCGGCUGAUGGUCGAUUGGGUAGUUGGUGGGAUAAAAGCUUUCCAGGCCGACGAUCUGUAGGUGGACUGAGAGGGGGACCAGCCACACUGGGACUGGGACACGGCCCAGAGUCCUGAGGGAGGCAGCAGUGGGGUAUGUUGGACAGUGGUCGCAAGCCUGAUCCAGCAAUGCCGCGUGCAAGAUGAAGGCCUUCGGGUUGUAAACAGCGUUUGUACGGAGCGAAAAGCCCUCGUCUAAGACAGGGGGGUCGUGACGGUACCGUAAAAAGAAGCACCGGCUAACUACGUG
rnacentral:rRNA from 1 species